rnacentral:tRNA from 1 species
GCUAUUGUAGUUUAAUUAAACAUUGGUCUUGUAAACCAAAAUUGGGGGCUAAUUAGCCCCCCCCUAGCC